rnacentral:rRNA from 1 species
UACGUAGGGCGCAAGCGUUGUCCGGAAUUAUUGGGCGUAAAGAGCUCGUAGGCGGUUUGUCGCGUCUGCUGUGAAAACCUAAGGCUCAACCUCGGGCCUGCAGUCGAUACGGGCAAACUAGAGUACUGCAGGGGAGACUGGAAUUCCUGGUGUAGCGGUGAAAUGCGCAGAUAUCAGGAGGAACACCGGUGGCGAAGGCGGGUCUCUGGGCAGUAACUGACGCUGGAGGAGCGAAA